rnacentral:pre_miRNA from 1 species
AGUGUAGUUGCUGAGUCAUAUGGUAAUUCUAUGUUUAACUUUUUGAGGAUCCAACAAACUGAUUUCCACAGUUACUGAACAAUUUCACAUUCUCACCAGCAGU